rnacentral:rRNA from 1 species
UACAGAGGUCCCAAGCGUUGUUCGGAUUCACUGGGCGUAAAGGGUGCGUAGGCGGUCGGGUAAGUUUGAUGUGAAAUCUCCGGGCUUAACCCGGAAACUGCAUUGAAUACUAUUCGGCUUGAGGUCUGGAGGGGGGACUGGAAUUCUCGGUGUAGCAGUGAAAUGCGUAGAUAUGCGGAGGAACACCGAUGGCGAAGGCAAUCCCCUGGGCCUGCACUGACGCUCAUGCACGAAAGCGUGGGGAGCAAACAGG